rnacentral:rRNA from 1 species
GGGAUUGCCUCAGUAACGGCGAGUGAAGCGCAAAAGCUCAAAUUUGAAAUCUGGCUCUUUCAGGGUCCGAGUUGUAAUUUGUAGAAGAUGCUUCGGGGUGUGGUCCCGGUCUAAGUUCCUUGGAACAGGACGUCAUAGAGGGUGAGAAUCCCGUAUGUGACUGGGUACCUACGCUCAUGUGAAGCUCUUUCGACGAGUCGAGUUGUUUGGGAAUGCAGCUCAAAAUGGGUGGUAAAUUUCAUCUAAAGCUAAAUAUUGGCCAGAGACCGAUAGCGCACAAGUAGAGUGAUCGAAAGAUGAAAAGCACUUUGGAAAGAGAGUUAAACAGUACGUGAAAUUGUUGAAAGGGAAGCGCUU